rnacentral:rRNA from 1 species
GACGAACGCUGGCGGCGUGCUUAACACAUGCAAGUCGAACGGAAAGGCCCUGCUUUUGUGGGGUGCUCGAGUGGCGAACGGGUGAGUAACACGUGAGUAACCUGCCCUUGACUUUGGGAUAACUUCAGGAAACUGGGGCUAAUACCGGAUAGGAGCUCCUGCUGCAUGGUGGGGGUUGGAAAGUUUCGGCGGUUGGGGAUGGACUCGCGGCUUAUCAGCUUGUUGGUGGGGUAGUGGCUUACCAAGGCUUUGACUGGUAGCCGGCCUGAGAGGGUGACCGGCCACAUAGGGACUGAGAUACGGCCCAGACUCCUACGGGAGGCAGCAGUGGGGAAUAUUGCACAAGGGGCGGAAGCCUGAUGCAGCAACGCCGCGUGCGGGAUGACGGCCUUCGGGUUGUAAACCGCUUUCGCCUGUGACGAAGCGUGAGGGACGGUAAUGGGUAAAGAAGCACCGGCGAACUACGG